UAUUUUUUUCUUCCAGUGUUUGGUGAUUAUGCACAAAGUUAUUGUGAACAUUCACAUAGCUUUUUGUAUACACAUAAUUUUUCAAGUCACUUAUGUAAAUAUUUAUACUUGGGGUUAAAGGAUUUUUAUGGUAGUUGUGUGGUUAACAUCACAAGAAAGGGCCCAGCUGUCUUCCAAACUGGCAGUACCAUUUUACAUUCUCACAAUCAGUAAAUGAGGAUUUUUAUUAAUUUUAUUGUUGCUAGCUAGAAUAGUUGGUUUUUAUCUUUUCAGUUUAUUUUAUUUCAGUCUGUAUCUUUUGUGUUCUUUUCAUAGUUGUUAAAAUACACUCUGAACUAAUUUUCAUACUCUUUGUUUGCCUAACAUCACUGAAAACACUUUAUCUAUGAUUAGAAUUUUUAAUCAUUUUACUUUGUGCAUAGUCCCAUCAUUUGAUAUCAUAAUAGAACUAAAUUUUAUAAUGCAUAUUAUUAUUUUUGUCCAAAAACUUUUUGUGUAUGUGUGAGCAGGAUCUUCUCUUACAUAAUAUCUCAAAACAAGAUGUACAAUGGACUUUGGAUUUUAGUGAUAAUGAUAAACCUUUCAAAAAUGGCACAUUUGAGUUUAGUAUACUGACUGGUCAUCUGCAACCAGAUGAAAAGUGUAAUGUUACCAUAACUUUCUGUCCAAGUAAGUACUUUUCUCCUAUAUUUUUGAUACAAUUUCAAUUUAUUAUUCAUAUGUUAAGUAUUUAAUACAGUUGCAAAAAGUUUAGAUUAUCUAUUGUAUGUUCUUUGUUAUUUGAAUAACCAAUACUAAUGUAAUUUUAUCUCAUUUUUGUCUUUUAAGAUACUUAAUUGACAAAAAUUAUAUACAUUCAAGGUAUACAACAAAAUGAUUUGAUAUAUAUUGUACAGUUAUUACCACAGAUUGACUGACACUGCCACCAUUACCCAUGCUGUAUAUUAAAUCCCCCAAAUCUGUUAAUUUUAUAAUUGAAAGUUUAAACCCUUUGAUUAUUAUCUUCCCAUUUUCUCUACCUGCAAGCCCCUGAUGAGUAUCAUCUUCUCCUCUGCUUCUUUGAAUAUGACUUUCUAGAUUCUGUAUGACCAAAAUCAUAAAAUAUUUCACCUAAAACAAUGUCCUCUAGAUUCAAGCAAACCUGCAAAUGCUGUAAUUUCAUUCCUCUUUAGGACAGAGUAAUAGUUCAUUGUGUAUAUAUGCCACAUUUUCUUUAUAUGUUCAUCUAUUGAAGCGCAUCUAAGUUGCUUCCACAGUUUAGCUAUUGUGAAUUGAGCUGCUAUAAACAUUGUGGCUGCAUCACUGUAGUAUGCUGAUUUUAAGUCCUUUGUAUUUAAACUGAGGAAUGGGAUAGCUAGGUCAAAUGGUGGAUCCAUUCCAAGUUUUCUGAGGAAUCUCCAUACUAAACCCUUCAAUUAUGCAGUUUGGUAUAUGAGGAGCUAUAGGUUUGCCAUAUUUGGUCUUUCUUUUGUUGAAUACAUUCCUUUUUUGGAAGGGGGCAGUACUGGGGCUUGAACCUGGGGAUGCUUUGCCUGAGCUGCAUCCUGCCUUUUGAAACAGGGCCUUACUAAAUUGCUUGGAGCCUUACUAAGUUCCUGAGGCUAGCCUUGAACUUGUGAUCCUGCUGUCUCAACCUUCUGAGUCACUGGAAUUACAAGCAUGUGUCACCAUGCCCAGUGAUACAUCCCUUUAAUACCUAAUUUGUUUUUUUUUUUAAAUCAGUCAAUGUUAAAUUUUGUCAAAUGCUGUUUCUGAAAUCAUUGAGAUGAUUCCAUAUUUUUAUCAUUGUGUUAACAUGAUGUAUCACAUAUUUUUAUUUUUAUAUGUUGAAAUAUUGCUUGCAUCACAAGGAAAAAUCCUGUUCGGUCAUGAUGUAUGAUCCUUUUAAUGUGCUGUUGCAUUCAGUUUGCUAGUGUUUUGCUGAAGACUUUUGUAUCUGUUUAUCAGGCAGAUUCACCUGUAGUUUUCUUUACUUGUUUACUUGUGGUUUCUUUGACUGACCUUGGAAUCAGAGCAAUGCUUGUCUCAUAAAAUGCAUUUGAAAGUAUUCCCUUGUCUUCAAUUAUUUUAGAUGAUCUUGAGAAGGAUUGGUGUGUUCUUUAAAUAUUUGGUAGAAUUUAGCAGUGAAUCUAUUAGGUUCUGGGCUUUUCUUUAGUGGAAAAUUUAUUUAUUGACUCAAUCUCCUUAUUUAUUUUUGGUCUGUUCAGAUUUUCUAUUUCUGCAUGAUUCAGUCUUGAUAGGCCUGGUUUCUAGGAAUUGAUUCAUUUCUUCUAGGUUUUUCAAUUUAUUGACAAUAAUUGUUCAUAGUAAGAUCUGAUGACCCUUUGUACUUCCAUAGUAUUAAUGUACUAUCUCCUCUUUCAUUUCUGAUUUACUUAUUUGAAUCUUCUCUUUUUUAAUUAGUCUAGUUAAAUUACAUAGUCUAGAUUAGUCUUUCAAUUUUGUGCAUCAUAUUAAAAA
rnacentral:lncRNA from 1 species